CCCCUUCCUUACUGCCUAUGCUGCGCAGCAACAACAACAACACCACACGCAUACAGUGAGACCCAAGGGGAGAAAGAAAUCGAAAUAGAGGGAGAAGAAGGAAAGAGUUCGCUGGCGGGGGAGGUGAGGAGAGCGACGCAGCCGCCGAGCCCAACACUAUGCCGAUCGUCUUCAUCGCCGCCAGCUGAAGAGAGAUGUGAUGGAGAGGGAGGGUCCGCGGACGGAGGCGUCGCCGUCCCCCUGAGGCCGCACUGUCGCCGCAGCUGCACGAGCCGGAGGAACUCAUCUCCGUUGGAACUGCCGCACCUAAUCCACCCGCGCCGCCGUCGCAGAGCCGAUUUGAGGCGAGGGAGAAGGUCGCGAUGGGGGAAAGGGUCGCGCCGCCCAGUCGCCGGUCUGCUCGUCACCGCGAGCUUGCCGCCGCCAUUGUGAAGGAUCUGCCAUUUCCCUUGUUGCCACUGGAGAGAGGGAGAUCGGAACGAGUAAGGAGGAGGAGGGUUAUGUCCGUCACCACCUGAGCUCGUCGUUGCGGGUGAUGGCAAGCUGAACUGCAGCCAGAAGAGUGUUCAGGCCACCGCAGGUGCCACUGCCAGACGAGGGAGUUGCGUCUCUGCGAUACUGACCGCCGAGAGUAGUUCUGAGACUUCCGGGAUCGCCGAUGGAGCUUUGGGCUGAGCUUCUCCCAAUUGAGACCCUACUGCCGCCGCCGGAAAAGUGUGUCGUUGAUCCACUGGAGCUUCUGGCCGCCGCCGGAGUUGUGCCGGGGCCGAUUCGAAAUCGUAGCUGCCUCAUUGUGUUAUUCUGUGAUGCUAUGGUUAUUGCAAAUAUGGCUUGAAGCUGAGGUUGCGGUUGUUGUUGAUUUCGGGUUGAGGUGGAAAUGACUCUGUGACGCGUUUGGGUUAUGGAAUUGCGUUUUGAGGUAGGGGCGUUUUCCGAAAACUAUAGUUUAUUAUUGGAAUUAUUACAUAUGGAUACUGAUGUGAGAUAAUGUAUUUGGUGAUUGUAUAAUCCUUAUAUGUUGUUGAUGGUCCUGGAUGAAUGUAACCAUAAUUUGGUUUUGAUGAAUGGGUUGUUGUGUGGAUUUGUAAAAUGAAAUGCUUUUGGAGUUGAUUCUUUUGAAGCUUUGAUAUCUGAGUUUAAUCCGUUGGGGGUUGAUUUGAAUUGAGUUAAUUAUUUUGAUGAUAUGAAAAGUCGAAUGCACUUUU